rnacentral:misc_RNA from 1 species
AACGCACGAGACCUGCGGACCUGCGGAAGGAUCAUUAAUGAGAAACUGCCCCUCGCGGGUAGAUCUCCCACCCUUUGUAAACUUACCUUUGUUGCUUUGGCAGGCCCGUCUCCGGACCGCCGGCUUCGGCUGGCCAGUGCCUGCCAGAGGAUUCUAAAACUCUGUCUGUCAGUGUUGUCUGAGUCUAUAUACAAUCGUUAAAACUUUUAGCAACGGAUCUCUAGAUCGGAAGAGCACACG